rnacentral:rRNA from 1 species
GACAUGCAGAGAACUUUCCAGAGAUGGAUUGUGCCUUCGGGAACUCUGACACAGGUGCUGCAUGGCCGUCGUCAGCUCGUGUCGUGAGAUGUUGGGUUAAGUCCCGUAACGAGCGCAACCCUGUCCUUAGUUACCAGCACGUUAUGGUGGGCACUCUAAGGAGACUGCCGGUGACAAACCGGAGGAAGGUGGGGAUGACGUCAAGUCAUCAUGGCCCUUACGGCCUGGGCUACACACGUGCUACAAUGGUCAGUACAAAGGGUUGCCAAGCCGCGAGGUGGAGCUAAUCCCAUAAAACCGAUCGUAGUCCGGAUCGCAGUCUGCAACUCGACUGCGUGAAGUCGGAAUCGCUAGUAAUCGUGAAUCAGAAUGUCACGGUGAAUACGUUCCCGGGCCUU